UGUAAGACCGACGAAAGUUAUAUGUAUUUUUUAGAGUUUCAUUUUUAUUUGAGGGAUUUGAAAAUAAAAUAAAAUUUGAGGGACAUUUCCUUCUCUCUCUCUCUAGUCUCACUCUCUCUAGGUCUAUAUAUAUUUCUAUCCAACCAUAGAAUACUUCACUACUUAUACAUGUAUUGUAUAUGCUCUAGUUUCUAAAAAAUUUGCUUAAUGAUGGCUUCUCUUAAGAAGCUUAUCUUGAAUCCAACUUUGCUAUUUGUUCUUCUUUUUUCAAUAAAAUUAGCAAUAGUAAGGGCACACCUCUCUAAUAGCAAAACGAAUGGACGUUUCCUUAAUGUUAGCGAAGAUGCACCACAUGGCCACAAUUUUAAUCAUGGAUGAUGAUAGAGCUGCCUACAACUAUUUAUGCCAAGCAAAGAAAGGGGAGAACAAAGAAAUAAAGAAGCAAAGUGGUUAAUUGGUGCAGAGAAAAUAAGAAAAGAAAGGCUUGUUCUAGAGAUGCAGAAAUAAUUAUAUGUUGAUUUGUUUUGGACUUAUGAAUAUGAUAAAUUAUUGAUAAAGUUAAUUAAUCUAAAGAUCGCCUAUUUUAUUUUGUGUA